rnacentral:rRNA from 1 species
UACAGAGGGUGCGAGCGUUAAUCGGAAUUACUGGGCGUAAAGCGCGCGUAGGCGGCUUUGCAAGUCGGGUGUGAAAGCCCCGGGCUCAACCUGGGAACUGCAUUUGAGACUGCAUUACUAGAGUAUGGGAGAGGGCAGUGGAAUUUCGGGUGUAGCGGUGAAAUGCGUAGAUAUCCGAAGGAACAUCAGUGGCGAAAGCGACUGCCUGGCCCAAUACUGACGGCUCAUGUGCGAAAAGCGUGGGGGAGCAAACAGG